ensembl:lncRNA
CAAACACUACCUGCUCGAUCACACCAGCUUAUCAAGGUCCUGCUCAAACACUACCUGCUCGAUCACACCAGCUUAUCAAGGUCCUGCUCAAACACUACCUGCUCGAACACACCAGCUUAUCAAGGUCCUGUUGAGCAGCUGAUGUUUUACAAUGUGGUGUGUUCCAGCAGGGCUGGAGCAAAAGCCUGUACAUCCAGUAGCUCUCCUGGAAUCACCAGGAGGAUGGUUUGCAUCCCUGAAACAUUGCAAUUACAAGCAAAAGCAUUGUCUUUAUAAAAUAAUUCCCUCACUCAAUGAACCAGUGAUCAAAUGGCUAAGGUGGGCGAGGUAUUUUUUUUAAAUAUAUACAUUUUUGCAGGCACUUAACAGAACAAUUUCAAGAUCUCCUCACUUUUGUGUCUGUAGGUAUACAGAAGAGGAGGCAUACAAAGGAAAAGACCAUGGCAGACAUGCAAGAGCGCUUAUCCGAAGCAGAGCGAUACCGGAGAAGGUGGGGGCUUGGCUUUACGGUGUCCCCGAGGACCAAAAUGAGAAUGUGAAGCAAGAGACAUCUGUAACCGUGUGGCGCCGGACUUCCCCGAUGGAUAUGUCUGUGGAUGUCGCUCAUCGUAUUGGGAUGAAACAAGAUACCAUCGUCAGCCGCUCGAUCAUCAUCCAGUUUGCUUUUCGCACAGCAAGAGAUGCAGUUUGGAAGAAAGCAAAGGAAAGCGCAUUUCGGAAAGAGAGAAUUUAGAUUCGGUGAGGACCUGACUGCAGCGGACAAGGCAGCAAAGGCAAAAUGGUGGCCUCUUGUACAACAGGUCCGAAAUCAAGGAAAGGGUGGAUACUACUACAGGUGGAUACUACAGGGGAAUCAGAGCCUUUUUCACCACGGAAAUGAAAUACGACCGGGGUGAUUUGUUUUGUCAGUAGGUUUACAAGGUAGCUCCUUCCUGUUAUAUAAAUAAUAAUAUCAAGCAUUACUAGCAGACCAAAGCUCUGGUUAAACCGGAUGCCCUCAGAUAACUCUGGGCCCAGUGUCCUCAGUCAAGUUUAGAGCCUACGUGCAAUAACAUGAUUUUCCGAAGGACACACAGCUGCCAUCACGCAAAUAUACUCCCCUGUAACUACAAAGAACAGCCUGCAACACUAACGAGCUUAGGGUGCCAAACUAUCUCACUGACAUUGACCCUUGCAUGCACUCCUGCAAAGACAGGAAACACCUAAAUCCACGCUUCCUUGACACACAUACAUUUCAUGAGCACUGUACACUCAGACUCUACCCCCCCCCCUACUGGUCGGGUGCCAAGAGCAAAGGACUUUGCUGUGCACCAAUGGGGCUCCUGCUCUGGCUAGAGCAGGCCCGCCUCCAACUCUUCAGGACCAGUCAGAAGACCAACACGACGAGACUCCACCUACAUUAUUCUGUGUAUACAUUCUGCUGUAAACUCUGGCUGGGCAGCCUAAUUAUUCUGACUCCUCACAGAGUCAUAUUGCUUAGGUCCGUGCACGGUGCAGAACAAAGAUAUCUCUGAUCUUAAAAUAAACUGCCUUUUUGCUACACCUGAUUCCACUCUGUCCAGCGUCGUUGUUUUGCUCUCCCUCUCCUGUAUGUAAACACCAACAUUC